rnacentral:rRNA from 1 species
UACAGAGGUCUCAAGCGUUGUUCGGAUUCAUUGGGCGUAAAGGGUGCGUAGGCGGCGCGGUAAGUCGGGUGUGAAAUCUCGGAGCUUAACUUCGAAACUGCAUUCGAUACUGCCGUGCUUGAGGACUGGAGAGGAGACUGGAAUUUACGGUGUAGCAGUGAAAUGCGUAGAGAUCGUAAGGAAGACCAGUGGCGAAGGCGGGUCUCUGGACAGUUCCUGACACUGAGGCACGAAGGCCAGGGGAGCAAACGGG